UAACACAUGCAAGUCGAGGGAGGAGCUUUCGGGCUUCGACCGGCGUACGGGUGCGUAACGCGUAUACAAUCUGCCUUUCACAUAGGGAUAGCCCGAAGAAAUUUGGAUUAAUACCUAAUGGCAUAUAGGGGUGGCAUCACCUUUAUAUUAAAGCUGAGGCGGUGAAAGAUGAGUAUGCGUUCUAUUAGCUAGUUGGAGAGGUAACGGCUCCCCAAGGCUACGAUAGAUAGGGGUUCUGAGAGGGAUAUCCCCCACACUGGUACUGAGAUACGGACCAGACUCCUACGGGAGGCAGCAGUGAGGAAUAUUGGACAAUGGUCGGAAGACUGAUCCAGCCAUGCCGCGUGCAGGAAGACGGCCUUAUGGGUUGUAAACUGCUUUUGCAGGGGAAGAAUAAGGACUACGUGUAGUUUGAUGACGGUACUCUGCGAAUAAGCAUCGGCUAACUCCGUGCCAGCAGCCGCGGUAAUACGGAGGAUGCGAGCGUUAUCCGGAAUCAUUGGGUUUAAAGGGUCCGUAGGCGGGCUAAUAAGUCAGAGGUGAAAGCGCUCAGCUCAACUGAGCAACUGCCUUUGAAACUGUUAGUCUUGAAUGGUUGUGAAGUAGUUGGAAUGUGUAGUGUAGCGGUGAAAUGCUUAGAUAUUACACAGAACACCGAUAGCGAAGGCAUAUUACUAACAAUUAAUUGACGCUGAUGGACGAAAGCGUGGGGAGCGAACAGGAUUAGAUACCCUGGUAGUCCACGCUGUAAACGAUGGAUACUAGCUGUUUGGUUGCAAGACUGAGUGGCUAAGCGAAAGUGAUAAGUAUCC
rnacentral:rRNA from 1 species